rnacentral:rRNA from 1 species
GACGAACGCUGGAGGCGUGCUUAACACAUGCAAGUCGAACGAUGAAAUGGAGCUUGCUCCAUGGAUUAGUGGCGAACGGGUGAGUAACACGUGAAUAACCUGCCCUUAAUUUUGGAAUAACCCAGGGAAACCUGGGCUAAUACCGGAUAAGUAAACCUGUGGCAUCACAUGGUUUUGGAAAGUUUUUCGAUUAAGGAUGGAUUCGCGGCCUAUCAGCUUGUUGGUGAGGUAAUGGCUCACCAAGGCGACGACGGGUAGCCGGCCUGAGAGGGUGAACGGCCAGACUGAGACGGAGAAACGGCCCAGAUUCCUAAGGGAGGAAGCAGUGGGGAAUAUUGCGCAAUGGAGGAAAGUCUGACGCAGCGACGCCUCGUGAGGGACGAAGGUCUUCGGAUUGUAACCCUCUUUCAGCAGGGACGAAGCGAAAGUGGCGAUACCUGCAGAAGAAGCACCGGCUAACUAUGUGCCAGCAGCCGCCGUAA